UGACACCAAAAUCUAACUAAAAUUUUAAUGAAAAUUUAUGCGAAAAAUCAUGUAUAUAAAUAAAUAUCUAAUGUGAAAAUCGUCAAAUAAAUUUUAUAUUUAAAAUUCUUUACUCAAAAUAACAUGUUUAGGUAAAGCUAAAUACAAAAAUAUUUGAUUCGCCAUUCUACCUUCCACGUGCCUCCGACCUUCGAAACCUGAAAAUGUUAAAUAUGAGAUCAGCAUAUAAAAUAUACUCAGUGUGGGAACAUGCAAUUAUUGUCCAAGUUAAUAAAACGGUAACACACACGGCCAUUUCAUACAUAUCCUCAAUAUUCGCACUGUGGCAAUCCAAGGACUUUAAAGUCCCGGACCCAAUUUACAGGCCCCUGGCGACAUCCUCAAUAUAAUAGUUGCAACCCUUUAACAUGUAAUCGCAUUGUGGCAAUCCAAUGACAUUUCCGUUUUGGACCCUAUUUACGGACCUCUAGCGAUACAUAACCUCAAAUCGUAUUGUGGCAAUCCAAGGACGUCUGUGAUGUCCUGGACCCUAUUUACGGGCCCCUGGCGAUAAAUGUAAUUCAUAACACAUAUGGUAAACACGUAAUAUUAAAAUGGACGAUAAUUAACCACGAGCAUGUAUUUAAAUAAAUCUCACACCUGAAAUUUGAACUUGACAGGUAAUUCUGAUAAUUCAAAUUAAAAUCCAUGUCCUAGUCGCACCGCACCUAGUAAAAAAAUUCAAAUAAUUUCAUAAUUAAAGACUUAAAGGUAGAUUUAAAAUAAAACAAUCUUAGCUAAAAUAAAUAAUUACUAUAUAUUAUUGGAAAAUUUUCUUUUUUAUUAAAGAAAUAUAAAUUUUAAAUCUAAGAAGUUUAUUGAAAAAAUUAAAGAUCUAGUAAUUUGGCAAAAUAACUUGCUACGAGAAAAUGGUUAUAAUUAUUUUAUAAUUAAUUAUUUGUUAUUCUAUUAUAAAACUAGUUUCUUAACUAUAAAUCAAGUAUCAAAAUUGAAUAAAAGAAAUUAAGCUCAAAAGAUAAUUCGAUGGGUAUUGGAUUUAAAAAAAACAAGCAAUUGUAGGAGUUUAUGGCUAUGAUUCUGCGUAAAGGAAAAAUAGAAGAAAAUAGUUGUUGUAUUAAUAUGAAAUUGCAUAGAUUCACUGGAAUAUAAUUAAAUUACCGGUAGAAACUCAGCAAUGUAAUGAACAGUAUGUGUUAUGUGGUGAAAGGAGCAGAACAAAAAGUCAAGUGUUUGUGUUGCUG
rnacentral:lncRNA from 1 species